rnacentral:rRNA from 1 species
GACGAACGCUGGCGGCGUGCCUAAUACAUGCAAGUAGAACGCACAGUUUAUACCGUAGCUUGCUACACCAUAGACUGUGAGUUGCGAACGGGUGAGUAACGCGUAGGUAACCUGCCUGGUAGCGGGGGAUAACUAUUGGAAACGAUAGCUAAUACCGCAUAAUAUUGAUUAUUGCAUGAUAAUUGAUUGAAAGUUGCUAUUGCAUCACUACCAGAUGGACCUGCGUUGUAUUAGCUAGUAGGUGAGGUAACGGCUCACCUAGGCGACGAUACAUAGCCGACCUGAGAGGGUGAUCGGCCACACUGGGACUGAGACACGGCCCAGACUCCUACGGGAGGCAGCAGUAGGGAAUCUUCGGCAAUGGACGAAAGUCUGACCGAGCAACGCCGCGUGAGUGAAGAAGGUUUUCGGAUCGUAAAGCUCUGUUGUAAGAGAAGAACGGGUGUGAGAGUGGAAAGUUCACACUGUGACGGUAUCUUACCAGAAAGGGACGGCUAACUACGUG